UGGGUAACCUACCCAUCAGAGGGGGAUAACACUUGGAAACAGGUGCUAAUACCGCAUAACAGUUUAUGCCGCAUGGCAUAAGAGUGAAAGGCGCUUUCGGGUGUCGCUGAUGGAUGGACCCGCGGUGCAUUAGCUAGUUGGUGAGGUAACGGCUCACCAAGGCCACGAUGCAUAGCCGACCUGAGAGGGUGAUCGGCCACACUGGGACUGAGACACGGCCCAGACUCCUACGGGAGGCAGCAGUAGGGAAUCUUCGGCAAUGGACGAAAGUCUGACCGAGCAACGCCGCGUGAGUGAAGAAGGUUUUCGGAUCGUAAAACUCUGUUGUUAGAGAAGAACAAGGACGUUAGUAACUGAACGUCCCCUGACGGUAUCUAACCAGAAAGCCACGGCUAACUACGUGCCAGCAGCCGCGGUAAUACGUAGGUGGCAAGCGUUGUCCGGAUUUAUUGGGCGUAAAGCGAGCGCAGGCGGUUUCUUAAGUCUGAUGUGAAAGCCCCCGGCUCAACCGGGGAGGGUCAUUGGAAACUGGGAGACUUGAGUGCAGAAGAGGAGAGUGGAAUUCCAUGUGUAGCGGUGAAAUGCGUAGAUAUAUGGAGGAACACCAGUGGCGAAGGCGGCUCUCUGGUCUGUAACUGACGCUGAGGCUCGAAAGCGUGGGGAGCAA
rnacentral:rRNA from 1 species